rnacentral:rRNA from 1 species
CAGUAGCCGCGGUAAGACGAACCGUGCGAACGUUAUUCGGAAUCACUGGGCUUAAAGCGCGUGUAGGCGGAUGGGAACGUCGGUCGCUGAAAUACCCCGGCUCAACCGGGGAACUGGCAUCGAAACGACCCGUCUCGAGGGGCAUAGGGGGAGCUGGAACUUCCGGUGGAGCGGUGAAAUGCGUUGAGAUCGGAAGGAACGCCCGUGGCGAAAGCGAGCUCCUGGAUGUCUUCUGACGCUGAGACGCGAAAGCUAGGGUAGCGAACGGGAUUAGAUACCCCAGUAGUCCCUGUCUCUUAUU